AUUGAACGCUGGCGGCAGGCCUAACACAUGCAAGUCGAGCGAGCGGCGGACGGGUGAGUAAAGUCUGGGAAACUGCCUGCUGGAGGGGGAUAACUACAGGAAACGGUAGCUAAUACCGCAUACUACUCGAUGAGCCUAAGUGUGAUUAGCUAGUUGGUGGGGUAAAGGCCUACCAAGGCGACAAUAUGUAGCGGGUCUGAGAGGAUGAUCCGCCCCACUGGGACUGGGGAACGGCCCAGGCUCCUACUGGAGGCAGCAAUGGGGAAUAUUGGACAAAUGGGGGAACCCUGAUCCAGCCAUGCCGGGGGUGUGAAGAAGGCUUUAUGGUUGUAAAGCACUUUAAGCGAGGAGGCGUUACUCGCAGAAUAAGCACCGGCUAACUCUGUGCCAGCAGCCGCGGUAAUAC
rnacentral:rRNA from 1 species